rnacentral:rRNA from 1 species
GAGCUCGGUGAAAAUGCGAUUCCCGUGAAGACGCGGGAUACCUGCAGCGGGACGAAAAGACCCCGGAAGCUUUACUGCAGCUUGGUAUUGGCUUUAAGGUCUUAAUACGUAGCGUAGUGGGGAGCCUUUGAAGCAUUUCUUUCGGGAGAUGUGGAGGCGCCAAUGAAACACCCAUUUUUAAGAUUUUAAAUUCUAACCCCGACGGCAAAAACGUCGAGGGACAGUGCUUGGCAGGCAGUUUCAAUGGGGCGUUGUCCUCCUAAAGAGUAACGGAGGAGUCUAUUAAGGUCGGCUUAGCCCGGAUGGAAACCGGGCCGGACGCGUAAAGGCAAAAGCCGGCUUAACUGCAAGACCUACAAGUCGCGCAGAUGCGAAAGCAGAGCUUAGUGACCCGACCAUUCUUUAUAGAAAGGUGGGAGACAUCGGAUAAAAGCUACUCCGGGGAUAACAGGCUAGUUUCGUCCGAGCGUCCAUAGCGACGACGAAGCUCGGCACCUUAAUUAAUAUCGGGGUGCUACGACAGUAAUGUCGUACCAUUUAUCUCUUGAAUAUAAAUACAGAGAAAGAAAACAAAAAAUUGGCUUAUAACGGAGAACUCCGUGUAAUAGGAUAGAGCUAUUAUGCGGACAACCCCGUGGGAAGUUUGACUCGAUGAAUAAUUGAGUUAUAACCCCGUAGAGACUGAAGUCGAAAGACUGAGAGUUGUCCAUUACCUAUAUGGACGGCUAACACGCCAACACCCCACCGAUUUAUGUGUCCGCUUAACGCGGGCGCAGCAAGUCGAAGGGUGAAGAUAUAGUCCGAACCUCUUCGUAAGAAGAGAAAAAUAUGACAGCGAUGUCGGCUCGCCCUAGCGCGGGGGUGUAGAAGCUCCCAAGCGUUUGGCUGUUCGCCAAUUAAAAGGGCACGUGAGCUGGGUUCAGACCGUCAAAAUAACUGAACCGAGGACAUCAAACACGGCGGCUUUCCGCAGUGAUGCGGAUCGAAUAAAUUGACUCAUAUCGGUGAAGUCCUAGCAUGGCAACCUGUCAUAUGUUAGGAUAAUACCGAGGGAAGUUGUGUAUGAAAAAUCUUUCAUCAACACAGAAAGCUUAUAUCGCGGGGUUUUUAGACGGAGACGGGAGUAUUUAUGUGCGCAUGAAACCCAAUACGGGAUACCGUUAUGGAUUUCAGAUAGCGCCGUACAUAGUACUAUUCCAAUCCUCUAAAGAUCGAAAGAAAUUCGAAAAGAUUUGUUCUCUGAUUAAUAUUGGAUAUAUUCGCGAACGCAAAGAUGGCAUUCUUGAAUAUACUAUUGGCAGAGAAGAAGCAAUACGAACAUUUCUUAAAUGCGUAAAACCUUUCUUAAUUCUUAAAAGAGAACAGGCGGAUCUUAUGAUCCGAAUUCUCAAUGCUAAAGCGAGAGUUAAGGAAAGAAAUGACUUUUUGGUGUUGGCGGAAUUGAUAGAUAAUUUUCGGACACUUAAUUAUUCAAAGAAACGAAAACGACAUACAUUAACCCCGUAGAGACUUCUCCGACGUAACGUCGGAGGGAAUCCACAAUAAAUUUGUGGGUUAACACGUCGGUCUCCCCGAUGGACAUCGGGGAGGUGGUAUAGUCCAACCCACUAGUAAUAGUGGAAAACGAUUUGCUCUUGGCAAUUUGCCAUUUGCAAUCUAAUUGCGUGAGACAGGUCGGUCUCUAUCUGCUGCAGGCGUUGAUACUUGAGGGGAGUUGGCCUUAGUAAAAUUUUGCUACUUCGCGGAGUAAUCCGCGAUGACAAUUUGGCUAAUAACGGUGGAGGCUUGUGCGUGCAAAGCGCGUUGAAGUCCAACGCAUUUGAUUAAACGCCCACAAGUUCAUACCGUGGGAAGUUGUUCGGUGCAUAAUUUCAAAAAAUAUGUACUGGAUUGACCCCGUAACGACUGGAACCGUAACGCAUAAUUUUAUGUUAUGCGCUCGGUGAAGAUGGCAAUUUUAGGUUGCCAUAAUACGCCGACACCCCACUUUCAAAAAUGAAAAGGGUGAAGAUAUAGUCUACGCACAUAGUGAUAUGUGAAUACGUGACGAGAGGACUUGGCUGAACGGACCUCUGGUGUACCGGCUUUGGUACCAACUGAAGCGCCGGGUAGCUAUGUUCGGAAGGGAUAAGCGCUGAAAGCAUCUAAGCGCGAAGCCUACCCCGAGAUUAGGUAUCUGUCAGUGCGAAGCACUGACCGCAGAACAACGCGGAACAAACGCAGAAGGUCGCGGAAGUUAUUUAAAUAAUUUUCCGCGUAAUUCAGCGUCAAGUCCGCGCAAGUCCGCGGCCAUUGCUUCGCAUUGGCAAAGGUUUCGUGGGAGAUUACCACGUUGAUAGGCCACAGGUGUAAGGCCAGUAAUGGUUUGAGCCGAGUGGUACUAAUAACCGUUAAUGCUUCUUUG